UUAAAGAAAGCAGCUAAUGCGACUGAGAACAAAAUGCAGCUCUGAACUCCGUGGUAGCUUGGUGGGCGGCUGCCAGCUCUUAUAAUAAUAUAGAUUAUUGCACCUCAAAGGCAGGUUUAAAUGCCUCCUGAGGACUGACUGGCUACAGGAGCUUGGUCAAAUCGCUUCAUCUCUCUCCGUUUCUGUUUCCUCAUCGGUCAAAGGAUUUUUUUUUUCUCACAGUGCUCUUGAGAGAAUGCUAUUGGCAUCAGCAGCAACAUCACUACCACAGCACACACUGUGUGUAUGCUGUAGCUCCGAAUGUCUCACUAGCUAUAGUUAAUCCCGAGGUGCGCGUUUCGGAUUUUAGCAUCUCUAACACCGAUGUAACGAAGACAACGGGGUCGCCGCAGAUUAUUUGGCAGCGCCUUUCUUUUUUAUUCGGUCCAAAAUAACAGUGCAUUGUGGGAUAGAUGAAAGAGGUUAUUAGCGUACUCCUGCCUCACAGGAGCUGUAUAAAGUGUGUGCCGGUUUUGUCCCACUUGACAGGUAAGAAGAUGGAGGCACAGCCAGUAUAAACGACUUAUCUAAGCUCUGGCAUCCAGCAAGCAGCGGAACUAUUCAACAAAACUUUCUCGGUUGGGAGGUCAGGGAAUGUAGUGCAAGGGUAAGCGCUGGCCUGAUGGUCAGGCUUCUCAGUGAGAAUCAUCUCCCGGUGCUGAGUAUGUCUAUGCAAAUGCACCCACGUCAUGGGGCCGAGAAGGAAAGAUGAUUCAUAUCUCCCAGCUUUCGCCCGAGAGCUUCACUCUGUGUAGGAAAUGCCCUUCCAGAGGUCAGAGAGGGACACACGAUUUCCUGGUUCCGUGACUCGUCUUCUGCUUGGGAUUUCAGAUGAAGGAUCUCGGCAGACGCUGGGUGCAAGCACGGGUUCUCUGCCUUGGCCAUUUUUCACAUGGAUGGCGGAGGAAGCCUGCCGAUGGGGGCUCCUAGGCAGGGCUGGAAAGUUAGCUUCAGGAUAGAGCUGAAGUGAGGGAUUGGCCUCCAAGCAGAAGGGAAAUGUACGAACCACCACUUGAAGUGAGGAAAUGCAGCUUCAAAAGGAACGAGAAGGAUCAGGUUGCAGAUCAGUGGCCAAGCGCUUCCGUAGCACAUACAAGGGCCCUGGGUUCGAAGGGUCCAAAGAACCCUUCAAAGAGCGGCGAGGAAAUAGUUUUCCCAUGCAAGCGGAAUGGAAGAGGGAGCCAACCUGGAGCCAUUCCUGAGUCUGAGACCUAAUCGUGCAGCUUAGGAGCAAAUUAUCCGGUGAGACUCAGUUUCCUCGUUAUGCUAAUGGGUAUCAUAACAUUCCAAUGGUUUACCUCACCUAGUUGUUAGAAGAUCAAUUAAGAUAACAGAUGUGAGAGCAUUUUUCCAAAUGAAGUAAUGCCGUGUAAGUGUGAGUUGUUAUCGUUGUUUUUCUUUCUAGGCAAGUACCAGCUUUGUGAGACUGGACAAGUUCUUACAGGGGAACUGAGAUGAUCACUAGUUACCAGACUUGCCCAGUUUUUUUUUUGGGGGGGGGCAGCCCACAGAGUUUGACUCAGAAUUCAAAGCUCCUCGUGUCUAAUGCCUCGCUUGUCCCUGGUUGACCCAGUGCAAAGGGUUGGGGAUGCCCCCAGAAGGUCUCUCUUCUCAGGUUCUCAGAUUCCGCCCUGCAGUGGGGGUCCUAGCCCCGGAAACAAGCUGACUGGGCAGAAGCGGCUCUUGCUUUGCCUUCUCUGGCAAUAAGACAAAUUUAGCAGCCAAUAAAUCCUGACUUCCUAAGCAGUACCCAGCCAAAUCACACCAAGUCAAAUGCAUUCUCGAAACGUUUCCCUGAUAGAUCAGCUCUAGGAGGUUAAACAGAGUAAAAUCUGCAUGACUUGCUAGGCAAAAAGAGAACAGGAUAGUAAUCCCACAUGCCUGCGACUGCAGAUUCUACACACGUGUAUCCGUGUUAGGGUUUGAGAUAAAAUCGAACUGCAUUUUUUAUUUUUUUAUUUUUUUAGACAGAGGUUGACCAUAGGUAAGGCCUACAGGAAGUAGGUGGUGUUGCUUACAGGAAGGAGUCAGAGGUGGAGGACUGCUCUUGUCAUCUAAGACCCUCUAGUCUGAAGGGCCUAGCAGCCUGCUGCCUGGGAACCAGAAGCUCCACUUUCAGUGCAGGCAAGCAAUGGCCAUAACAGGGACACACUAAGUGGCCCCCACCUUUUCUGGCCUUCCCUCUGAAAGAGAAGGAAGGAGGAAGUAGGAGGAGAAGGAGGAGGGAAAGGAAGGGGCCUGGGAAGCCUAAAGAAAAAAAAGUGCUUAAUAAGAGAGAGGAAGUUGGGGAUACAGUUUGCCCUGGUAACGAGGUUUAGAACAAAGUAGCCAUUUGCGCACUGAGAGUGCCCCAGGAGGGACCUUUCCCUAGACGGAACGAACACAUCACCCGCUCCUCUAGCCUUUCUGGAAGAUGCCCGGCCUUCCGAGCAGGGCCUGCCUUCUCUGGCAGCAGACAAAAGGCCAUUUCUGAGUUACACAGAAAAUGUGUUACUUUGCCAGAGGGUCGGGUAAGCGCUGCCCUGGUCCAUCCUGGCCCAGCAGAGCUGUUUGCAGAGGGGGCCUGUCAGUCACUAGGAGCCCUGCGUGAAAGGGGCCCCUUGUCAACUUCCCCUGCCUUUGAAGUGACUGGGAUGGAGGUGCUCAAUUAAAAGCCCAUCAGUCUGUAAGUAAAUCAACGCCUAUCAGGCUUGUCACAUCAAACAAACGAUUAUUACCCCAGCCCGCCCACCCCAUUAAUCUGGCUGUUCCUUCUUGACGGCUCAGGGUCAGGGCGGUGUAAAUCCUGUACUGGAUUCCAGCCACCUGGAUCGGGAUGAAAGCCCUGGUAUAACACACCACACUCUCAGGCAUUUCCCAGGGCCCCUGGAGGGAGGGCCUCUGUCCCAGAGGGGUGGUGACAGAGGAGUCCUCCAAAGACAGGACCUUGGGAAAAGACAUAAAACGGGAUGGAGAUGGAGAGACAUAAAGGAGGGAUACUGCAAUAGAAACACCAGAAGAGUGUUGAGAUCGAAAACACUGGGAACGUUAGGGUCACCUACAGACACACUCCCAAAGGACAAGGUCUCUGGAUGAAAUUCUUAGACCUUGCAUUCUGAGGCCCAAGUCAGAGAGUGGAUUCAAUCCCAAGGUGGUUUUCUUUACUUCUCCCCAUGUGUCACAUGGUCAAGGGAAAGAAGGACGGUAGAGAGGAUACAAGAAAGCAUUCAGAUUGCUAUGCCGUUCCCUGUGCCGGGCAUCAGAACUGGCAUGGGAAGAACUGAAGGUGGUAUAAACAGGAUACAUUAGACCAGUGGUCCCCAGUCUUCCUAAGGCUGUGACCCUUUGACACAGUUCCUCACAUUGUGGUGACUCCAAUCAUAAAAUUAUUUUUGUUGCUACUUCAUAACUGUAACUUUGCUACUGUGGUGAACCGUAAAAUACAUAUCUGGUAUACAGGAUAUCUGUGUGACUCCAUGAAAAGGUCGUCACGACCCACAGGUUGAGAACUACUGCAUUAGACCCCAGCCCCAAGUUCAGAUGGUCUACCCAAGUCCCUAAGAACAACUUUGUUCUGGCGACGUUCCCCUAGGUUCUGUGUGCUGGUUUGAGGAUUCCUUUCUGCGUGCUGGGAUCAAGCUCUUGGCUUUUCCCACUGUAGAAUAAAGGGAACUGUGAGCAGGGAGGAAGGGACACAGUAUAGUUUGAAAGAAGGGUGGGAGUUGUGUGAGAAAAGAAGUCAACCACAUCUCUUGAAAAGUCAAGGCAGACUUAUUGGGGAAGGAAACUACCGGUCCCUUCCCAAAAGGUUUCCCCACUGACUCGCGGUGGUCCACAUUUUAAAAUGGCAGUCACUUACUUGUCCACUUGGAGAGGAGUAACUCCUUAAAGAAAGUGCGACCAGAACUGAAACAGAGGACCCAGGAGAGGAAGCUAUUUUGGCUCUCUUGAGCAAGGAGUUCUGCUUACCCAGCCUCGCUUGCAGAUUAUGUUCACUUCCUACUACACAAAGGGUGGAGAUUUUCGAAGUAACUGGAGACAUUUUUGUCCCUGUCUUCCUCUAGGGUGGUAAGAACUGCUCACGGGAAAUUCUGCAGACAGGCUGCAUUAGUCAGCUUGCUGGUGCUAGGACAAAACAGCCCAGGCAAUCAACUCGUAAGGAGACGAGACUUAUUUGGUUCAUAGUUUCAGCAGUCUCUGCUCAUAGUCAUUUGGCCCUGUUGUUUACAGGGGUUGGGACAAGGUAAAUCAUGAACCUUGGUGGCUGUGAAGCAAAUAAAAGGAGGGUGGGGCAGUCCUUAAUACAUCCUUCAGGAGUGUGCCCUCGGUGACUUAAUUUCCUUCUCUAGGCCCCAUCUCUUAAAGAUUCUGCCACCUCCGAAGAGUGCCAGGGGCUGGUGGCCAACCCCCUGUACGUGGGCCUUUGUAAAGGAUUUAAAAUCCAAGUCACAGCAUGGACUACUACCCCAACUGUGUGUGUGGGCUUUCUCUCAAGCGUUCUCUAAGGAGCUGGCUGCCCAUCAUGCCAGUGUGAACUAAUUUGUCCUGUCGUCGAGAUCCAGCAGUGCACGGUGCCUUUGUUAUCUACGUUGAUAGACGUGUUGAGGCUUACCCCAGAGGUGAGAAGGAAUCAUGUCCACUGCGUAUCUGUCCCGCACUGCCUCUCGUGUGGUGUCUAAGCAGAAUUUUAUAUUUAUAACUUACAGGCUCUUUUCUAAAUCAUUGGACUAUAGCAGUGAAUAGGACAGGCAAGGCCCAGGGAUGUAUGGGGAUCCUUUACAAAGGACCCAUGUGUCUGAUUCUUCUUCGUCACAUGUAUGCUCAUUAGGUAGAUAUUUGCAGAACCUCUCAGUGCCAUUUGCACAAGGAGUCAAAGAAGAGUUGGAAGGAAAUUCUGUCCUGGAAGAAAGUCGCAGCUAAUGAAAUCUAAGUCGGUGCAUGAAGUGGUAGGCACCAUAAGCUGGGAAAAGAUGAGAGAGAGAGAGAGACAGAGACAGACACACACACACACACACACACACACACACACACACACACACACACACACACACACACACAGAGAGAGAGAGAGAGAGAGAGAGAGAGAGAGAGAGAGAGAGAGAGAGGGAGAGAGAGAGAGAGAGUGUUCAGGGAGGAGAUGAGGAGAUAAUUUAUUCUUGCUCUUCUUAGAGAAGGUCUAGAAUGAAGCACUGUAUUUGCUGUUGGGUCAUGUCAGGUUUUUUAAUAUGCUUUAUAAUAUAGUGCUGUGUGGGCUUAAUGUCUGCUGUCACUGGCUUCAAUGACAUUCUAAUUCAUUGUGCUUGUAAUUACAGCCAAAUCACAAUACCCUCCUCCAUCAAGCAGGUGGACGUAACACAGGGAACUCGAUUCCACGCUUCCCCAGAGGUCCAGGUUACGGCUGGGAACUCCCAAGACGCAGGAGUUGUGUUCCUUAGAGUUGGGCAGAGGCUCUGAAUCCAGGCUGCAGCUCAAAGCCAGGCUCUUCAAAUGCUGGCCUUGUUGCUUGCCUGCUGCGAGGCCAUGGGCAAAUCACUUGAACUCCCUGUGUGUGUUUCCCCAUCUGUUAAAUUGGGGUGAUAAGAGCCUUGGCCUCAUAGGGUUAUAUGACAAUUAAAUGCAUGUAAAUCAUUCACAACAGUGCUACAGAGAGUGUGCAUUCAACAAUGCCCGUCAGGAUUCCUGCUCAAAGUGGUCUCUUGGAGGGGAAAUGCUGGGAAGGCACUAAAUCAAUCAACGCACGGUGCCUUCUUGCAUUUUAACAUCGCUGAGUCACUUACAUUAAUUAUAUUUAAAGCUUGUUUACUUAUUGUUAUUUGUAUGGCUGUUUUGCCUGACUAUAUGUCUGUGUAUCAUGUGUAUGCCUGGUGCCCAUGGUAGCCAGAAGAGGGCAUCAAGAUAUUCUAGACCUGGAGUUACAGAUGGUUAUGAGCCACCAUGAAGGAGGUGAGAAUGAAUUCCAGGCCCCACUUGAAGAGCAGCCAGCACAGCUCAAUUACUGAGCUAUCUUUCCAGCCCCUAAUUUUGAUUUUAAGUCUCUCAGUGCUUGUAAACAUUUAAAUGGUUUUUUUAAACUAAAAUUGCGUGUUUAUUAACAGUUAAUUAAUUACUGUCCAUGUGAGUUUAACUGUAUGUGCUUGUUCACAUCCUGGUCUCUCCUCUAGAAAGAGCCAUUAUCUUGUAUUUGUAUUAUUAUUAUUAUUAUUUUUUUGCCCUUUUGGAAAACGUAUUUUUAAAUUUAUUUUAAUGUUUUGGUUUUUUUGAAACAGGGUUUCCCUGGUUGUCCUGGAACUAGCUUUGUAGACCAGUCUGGCCUCAAACUCACAGAGACCUGCCUGUCUCUUCCUCCCAAGUGUUGGGAUUAAAGCACUCACCCACAGUGACAAACUUCCUCCAACAAGGCCCCACCUCCUAAUAGUGCCUCUUCCCAUGGGGCGAGCAUAUUCAAACCACCACACUCGGCCUAUACAGAUUUAGAAUUGCUCUAUUUUUCCAUUGAGUUGACCACUCAGUCACCAAGGGACACUUCCUGUGCUGGUUUAUCCUGUCUGCUACAUGCCCAGCUCCUGAUUUCUCCUGACUUUUGUUUGGGACGCCUUUCCCUCUCCUUUCAAGUUCUAGCCUUUUCCAGUUGUCUGGAAAACACAGCAUACCAACAGGAAUUUUGUUAUACUUUAAGGUUUUAUGGAGCAGUGCAUUGGACACAACACAACAGAGGCCUCUUCUUGCUGUUUUACGUCAUCUGAAGCCUUGGUUGGAAAGACUCCAAAGAUUUGGGGCUAGAACGACUGUCUGGAGAUGUUGUUAUUCAUAUCUGGUACCUGGAGUUGGAUAACGUGACAUGAGGCCCAGAUAAUGAUAUUGACUGACGUGUCUACCUGUGGUUGCUACAUACUUGGGCUUCCUUAUGACGUGUCUCAGACUUCCUAAACAGUCGCUCAGACUGCUAAGAGUGACUGACUGUCUCAUCAGACAAAGCAUACACAGCAGCUUCCUUUAAUCUCGCCUCCGACGCCAGCGUUGCUUUUGUAAUACUUUGUGGCUUGAAGGAACCACAAACGGGCCCAGACUGGUGAAGGUAGGCAGAUGCAACUUGUACUGAGAAAAGUGCCAAAGGGUUUGUGGCUUUGUUUUAUAGAUUGACCCACGACUUUUCUUAAUCUUAAGGUGUUGCUUAUACACUCCAAAUAGAUUUUUUUUGGGGGGGGGGAUGGGAUGAUCAUUUGAUGGGGGAGGGUGCAUCAAUCCUUCUUGGCCGCCGCCUUCUGCACGGCUGCCAGAAAGUUGCUCAGGUGUUCGCACUUUCUCUUGGUGCGCAUGUGCGUGCCCACCUUCUCCUUGAUGAACUUGAGGGCGAGCUUUUCCUUGGACACUUUGAGCAACUCCAUGGUGCGCUGCUCAUAGGAUGUGAAGCUGUACACCUUUCGGAUCGUGUCCUGGGACUUGGUGUGCUUGGUGAGGCUCCUUGUGGCCCUUGUUGAGGCCCAUGGCCAUGGAGUAGCACGGGGCCAUGGCUGCUGCUCUCUGAUGGUGGCCAGGACAGGAAGCAUAGUUAGAUUUCAAAAUAAUUUUUAUCCAGCCUUACAAUUUAUUUUUAAAGGCUUAAUUGUAUUUUAAUUUUAAUUAACUAAUGAAUGAAUGAAUGAAUUGUAUGUGUGUGUGUGUGUGUGUGUGUGUAUGUGUGUGUGUGUGUAUGAGAAUGCAUGCUACUGCGUGUGCAUGGACAUCAGAGGACAACAUCUGAGAAUCAGUUAACUCUUUACCACCAUGUGGAUCCUGGGGACUGAACUUAGGUUGUGGAUCUUGGUGCCGGAACCUUUAACCCCUGAGCCUUUUCACUGGGUUCAGUCUUCGUUUUUUAACUAAAAUCUUUGGUUCGUUUACAUUUAAAGUAACCAUGGAGAUUGUACUUUAAAUCUAUCACUGUGUACCUUUUAUUUAUUCCAAAUGAUUUUUGUUCACUUUGCCCUUAUUUUUCCUUCCUUGGAACUGUAAUGCAAAUCGCUCCUUUUCCUACUCAAUUGUUUGGUUUUUUUUUUGUUUUUGUUUUUUUUUUUGUACGCUUUUUCAACUCUUCUCGGUUGAUUACUCAGUAAUCUCUGUCAUCUGUGCAUAGAGAACAGAUUUAUCUGUAUUCUUUUAGUUUAAGAGUUGCUGAAGUGAGCAGAAUAACCACUCCAGAGAUUGCUGUCUGUCAUUAUUUCAUUAUAAGCUACCUUAAAUAAUACUUAUAUCACAUCCUGAGGAAUCUGAGAACUUCGGAACAUGUGCGCUCCAUUUACCCGUCCCUUCUCUUCUGUCUGUCUGUCUGUCUAUCUAUCUAUCACCUAUCUACUAUCUAUCUAUCUAUCUAUCUAUCUAUCUAUCUAUCUAUCAUCUAUCUAUUAUCUAUCAUCUAUCUAUCUAUCUAUCUAUCUAUCUAUCUAUCUAUCUAUCUAUCUAUCUAUCUAUCAUCUAUCAAUUAUCUAUCAUCUAUCUAUCUAUCUAUCUAUCUAUCUAUCUAUCUAUCUAUCAUCUAUCUAUCAUCUAUCACCCCGUGUAGUUUGAUCAUCAUCAACACUAGUUUAGAUCUGCACAGAUAUUUUACCUUCUGAUACUGCUGAGUCCUUCGUUCACGUCUGUGUUUUCAUUUGGGAUGCUUUGGGGUCACCUGCCUCCCCGAAUGCUCCAGGCAUUUCUUUAAUGUGCACGCGCUAAAUUCUGGUUCUGUUUCCUGAAAAUGUCUUUGCCGUGCCUUCGGUUUUGAGGGACAUUUCCAGUGAGCAUGGAGUUUUAGGUCAGCAGUUAUUUUCUUAGGCUGCUGUAAUAGCUCUUUCUCUGCAGCUCUCCUCCGGUCCCAUGUUUUUCCUCUGUUGCUUACUUCCAGUUUUAACCAUUACCCUUUCUUUUUCUUGUAGCUGCUUUCAUGAGUUUCCUCUUGGUUUUCUUACUUUUAGUAAUUUCCCCGCAAUAUAUAGCACUGUGGUAUCUUUAUAUUUUAUCUCUCGUGGGCUUAUAAUUUUUAAAAAUUCUGUAGCAUUACUUUAUUCCAUUUUUCAUAUUUUUUGGAGGAUUCCUAGCCAGGAUUUCUUAACAAGUUGCUUCACUCACAUCCUCUCUCUCUCCUCCAUCUGAGAUCCAAUAACGAAAACGUUAAAUGAUUUUACUGUGUCUCCGCAUCUUCGAUGGAAAACCUUUUCUUUUUAUUCUAAACCUUGGAUGUCUAUUUUACUUUGAAUUGCUCUAUCCCAUCCUUAAUCUCAGCAAAUGCUCUAGGAUUUCCAUUUCACAUCUUUUAAAAAAGCAGACCACAUUUCUGUUGUAAAACUAUCCCUUUUUAUUUUCUUGAACACACCAAUGAUAGUUUAAAGUCUGUCCGAUAAUUGGGAGGAGCUCACUGUUCCUUCUUCUCCUCUGUUUCUCUCCCCUCUCAGAUUUAAUGUCUGGUAAUUUUCUGUUGAACUCAGGCACUGCUCUAAAACUCUCAGCUUCUAGAUGAUGUACCUUUCUUCCUUCCUAUUAGAGGCUGGGAUGUGCACAGUGGAGCCUCGCUUAGGGUGCAUAAGGCCCUGGGCUCAGCCCCUGACCCCGUAAAUGACGGCACAAAAGAUCAUUAAUUUUCUCGUGUCAGGGAGUGAGAGUAUGGUCAAGUCAUCCUGAUGCCAGCAAGGGUUCCUAGGAGCUCUGUUAGGGUGCCACACAUCUCACUGUUCCUUUCUUAGUAAUCUCAGGCAUAAUUCUGAAUAUAGAAUGUAAUUAACUGAUUUCCAGACAAGCAAUCUUUCUGGGAAUUCCAAAGUUUUACCAAAUCACCUCCCCACUGACGGCCUUGAACUCUAACCCCUGACUUCCCAGCUUUGCCUUCAGUCUGCUAGCAUGAUGCAUGCUGGAGCACCACGCCAUGACAAGGGACCUAGAGGCAAGGCCAGAGAGAGAAACAGGGCUCGCUUCAAAUUCCUUCUCUUUUUGCUCUUGGCUCUACCAGUUCUGCCAAACUCAGUUGCUUGCAGGUUAUAUGCUGUUGCAUUAUACGUUUGAUUUAACUGUUUUAGUUGUUAUUAGUGGAAGGAUUUGUCUAAUAUUCUUUUGAUUAAGUAAAAGUUUUUGUUAGCCAGGUGUGGUAGCACUUAGGAGGCAAAGGCUGGCUGAUCUCUGUGUGUCUGAGGCCAGCUGGUCUAUGUACGAGGUGAGUUUCAAGACAGCUAGUGCUGCACAGUGAGACCAAAACGAACAAAUGAAUGUUUUGUUUAUCAUCUGAAUGUAUUUAUACAAACGCUUUUCUUGCUUUGAGAUUUAUAAAAAUGGUGUCAUUCUGCUGUGUUAAUCUUUUAAUGUCUGGGUGACAACGGACCAAAGGAAGAGGCUUAAGACAAUAAAUACCUCACUAUGUCCUGUGGAUCAUAAGUCUGGAAUUAUAAUGUUGCAGUUCUGGCUUAGGAUCCUUCAUGAGGUGAAGUCAAACUAUCAGGAGGCCAUAUGAAGGUUGAACUAGAGUGGAGGCUUUCCCUUUAUGCUCCCACAAGUUGCUGGGAAGUUCUCAUGGCUUACUGUCAGGAAGCCUGAGUUCUUCCCAUGUGUGUCUCUCCCAAGGUUACUCUGAGAAGUCAUCUUCUGCUUUUUACUACGUUCAUGCAGAAGCAAGAUAUCGACAUCAGGAUGAGGUGUUACAGAAUUUGUGAGUGUUUUUUUUUUUAGAACGACCACAUGUAGGUGGAUUUCUGUUUUCACUGAACAUUAAGUUCCAGGCUUCAUUUGUAUUGUUGCGAAUAACUGUGAUUCAUGUAUGUUUACCGCUUUAGUAUUGCACAGGGAGGAUGGACCGAAACUGUGUUUCCUCCACUGUCUUCACGAUGCAUGUGGCUUGUUAGAAUCUUUUGCACUUUGAUGAAUAUAUCCUGGUAUAUAGCACAGGCUGGUCUUAAACCUCCUAUCUUGGCUCAAUUUCUCUUGAACUUUGACUGCUACAUUUGAUCCAGAAAACAUUUUUAAAAAGCCACUCAUAUGACGUCUUUAAGAAAAUACAAUGUAUGUCGUAUUCACCCCAACUCCUGCUCUUAAUUCUUCCCAAAGCCACGGCUUCUGUUUACUUUCCCAAUGCCAUUUCUUCAUUUUCUCUUUAAAUGUAAUAAUCCAUUGACUUUGAUUUGUGCUGUCUGUAUAAUUCUGGUGUGGGUCCACCUACUGGAGUAUGACUGAUCUACCAGCUGCCAUGUCCAUUUUUGUUCUUUUAUUACUUUUUCAUUGAAAAAAUUUGAUAUAAUGCAUGUCAAUUACGCUUUUUACCCUCCUUCAACUCCACCCAGAUCCUCCCCACAUCCCUACCCAGCCUUAUGCUCUUUUUCUCUCUUUCAACAAACAACAAACAAAACAGAAGAAACAAAAACAAAGAAAAAAAAAACUUCAAGAACCACGAAUCCCCCAUACAAUUUCAGUAAGCAAAAGACCAAUAAGAUGAAAAAUGUCGAAAUAAAGCAAAGUGAGACCAAAGUCCACAAAAAUUCCAUUGAGUUCAUUUUGUGUUGGUCAUUUUGCGUGAGGCCUGCCCUGGAAUAUGUUAGAUAAACCCAGCGACACUCCAUAGGAGAAAACUAGGGUUUCCUUUGCUAGCAGGUACCAAUGGCACGGCUAGCUUCUUGGUUAGGCGUUGGAGACAGGGUUUACUUCCCUUCUCACUACCAGGACUCAGUCUGGCUUGAACCUGUAGAGGUUUUGUGAGUGCUCUGAGUCUCCGUGAGUCCGUCCAUAUGUUUAUCAAUAGGAUGAUCGUAUCCUCAGAAUCACCCAUCACUUCUGGUUCUUACACUCUUUCUGCCUCCUUUCCCACGGAGAUCUCUGAAGGCAGAGGUUUGACUAACAUCCCAUUGAGGACAGAGAACGGCAAAGUCUCUCACCUUCUGUACCUUGCCCAGUUUUGGCUUUCUGUGUUAAUGCCUGUGUUUCUGCAGAAGAAGCUUCUCUGAUGUGCGUUGGGAGAGGCACUGAUCUGUGGGUAUAGCAAUGUGUCAUUAGGAAUCAUUUUACUGUGAUGUUCCUUUGGUAGAACAAUAUCAGGCUUUCCUGCAGGCCCAUGACCCAUCUGACCUCAGGUCACUGACGUAGGCUUCAAGGUUUGUAGAUUGGUGAUAUUGACGAUUAACUUUCUCCUCUGGUGAUGUGCACAGUACCUGCCAGCAUCAUGAAUGCCAGUCAGUAGGCGUGAAGGCUCUGGUGAGGCACCAACUCAACUCAACGUCUCUGUGUUUGAUGACAUAUGAGAGGAAAAGCAACUUUCUACCACUCUCCCUGCAGUCCAGAGUCUUAACGAGCCUGCUCGGAUCACCAACUUGCUUGCAUCAAGAUCAUCUGGGGUCCUUGGGAACAGGACUGCUUCUUCUACUCUUCCAAACCAAACUUUCUGGGGAAAGGGCCCAGAAUUGUAACCUUUUAAGCAAGUUUCUCAGAUUCUUCCUAAGUGUACUGUGGUUUGAGGAUCACUGCCCAAAUCUCUUUUCUCCUUUGGUAUUUCAUUUUAAAUAUUCAUGGGAGAGGCAUUCCAGGGAGCCCAGAAAGAGAAGGAGCUGACUAUGUUACUCAGCCUCCUGUCACUAUAACAAAUAGCCAAGACAAUCUCUUAUAGAGAGAAAAGAUUUAUUUUGGCCCAGGGUGCUGGAGUUUCAGUCCGUGGUUGAUUGAUGCUGUUGCUUUAGGGCUAAGUCGAGCUACAUGAGUACACAUCAUGACUGAAGUGCUUGGUAGGACAAAAACCACUUAUAUAAUAGCCAUGGAACAGCAGAAGAAAGGGGGUGGGGGGCCCCACAAUUCCCUCUGAGGGUAUAGCCCCAGUGACCUUAACGCCUCAUACUAGGUCUUAAGGUCUUAAAGGGUUUCCCUUGCUGUCAGUGGAAGGAUCUGGGGACCAAGCCUUUACCACACUAGCCUUUGGGGACACUUCUCCAAGCCACAGCAGUGACUCACAGCUACUCUUCAUGUCACUGAAGUUCUUUGGGAGCCCCAGAACCCUGUGUGGCCAUAGUCAGUGCCACACACAUCUUGCUGAGUUGUAUGAUCCCCCCACCCCCUCCUCCUACACUUUCUGGAGCUACAACCGCAACCUAAAAUAGUUUCCAUCAGAGAGGAUCUUUUUUUUAAAAAAAUAAGGAUUUUCUCAGUGAUUUUUUUUUAAAAUCUUGUUGAUCUAGGCAUAAAAUUCAGUAGAGGUUGAUGAAGUUUAGAUAUCAUUACAGGUUGACCAAUGUCCAGGUAUGCCUGGGUCUGGAGGACUGCAAGAACUUCAGUGCCAGCAUCAGGAUGUUCCGAGAAAAGCGGGAUGUGUGGCAAGGACCCCGAACAGCUCGUGGUGGUGAAGAUGGAGAUGGCUCUCACCCUUUAAUGACGGUGUGGUAGGGGCCAUGCUACUCCUGUCAGAGUACACCGUGUUUGACAAUAGGGGAAGGAACACAUCGGGGGUAAGGCAUGCUUUUCAGAUCCCGAGAGCUGGAUACAUUGUCAAAGGUACUGUUCAUUUGUAUUAUUAGCAGACAGUCCUUGACCAAAAUGACGGGGUUCCAGGGUGUCACUUCCACCCUGCACAUCAUGUUCUUUUCUUGUAAGGACCUCCAAUGCCUUCCACUCUCCCAUCAUCCACUGCUGUGUUCCUCUUCCCAAAGAGUCUCUGGCUUAUUUCACUUAGCAGCACGAUGAUCUUUACCUCCCUCCAUUUCCCUGCUAAUGACUUAAUUUAACUUCUUUAUGGCUGAGUCAAACUCCGCCAUGUAUUUUUUUUUUUUUGCUUAUUCUACGUAUUUUAAUUUUUAAAGCCUUUUAUCUUUUAAGGAUGUACACAUGGGCAAGAUCUACUAAGUUAAUGAACGCCGAGGCUGACCGAAGGACUUGGAAUUUGUGAUCAGUGCUGCAACAAAACCCGGAUGUGUAGAUAUCUCUGUGGUGCGUUGGCUUCAGCUAUAUUCCCUGGAGCAGUGGUACAGUUGGAUCACACAGUAGGGCUGCUGGUUAAUCCUGGUUGUCAACUCGAUACACCUGGAAAGAGAGAGCCUCAACUGAAGAAUUGCCUUAAUCAGAUUGACCUGUGGGCGUGACUGGGCAAUUUGUAGGCAGGUGGGCCUUGGAUGUUUAAGUAGUUGAAUCCAGGAGCCAGCCAGUGAGCGGUGCUCCUCCGUGGUUCUGCCUCUGCUUCUGCAUGAGCGCCUGCCCUGUCUUUCCUCCGUGAUGGACUGUGGAAGGAAUUCAGAGAAACAUCACAGUUACAAGGAAGAAAUGCAGAGAUUAUCCAGUGCUCAGAUGGUCAUCAGAUCUGCAGUGUGCAUGUUCCUGGUCAUAUCUAUCUACUGCCCACCAACCCCUCAAAACCAAGCAGACGGUAACAGAGAACAUCCUGGUGGACUCACACGUCUGUGUCCAGCACUCAGGAGACUGAGGCAAGAGGGUUACCAGUUCAAGGCUAGUUUGGGCUACAUGGAAAGAUCUUGUCUAACAAAAACGAUCAUGACCAUCAAAGGCUAUGGGUGUGAUUGUCAGGAUUAAAGUGAAAAGUAGUUCUACUACUUUAGAUUUAGGCUGGUUUCAAGUUAAAAUUAAAAAAAAAUAUUUAGUGGAAAAAUCUUUGCAUGAAAUCCUGUAUUCAUCGCCCAUGUUUCCCUUUUGGGGAAGCCAUCUUUUCUAUUGAUUUUAAAAAGCCCCUUUAUACAUUUAGCAAUUACCUUUUGACUUAUUUAUUAAAAACACAUUACCAGGCUUUGCCUCUUCUAGAUUUUGAAAGCUAGAAAAAGGUUUUGUGGACGUUUAGUCUAAGGCUUUUAUCUCAAAAAGCCAAGGGGGCCAAGGUAAAAAUAGUUAAGUGUCUCCAAUGCACAAUGUUGGCAGUAGAGUCUGGCCUGGGUUCUUGGCAUUUGGAAGUCACACUGUUUCUGCUGGCCACACACUGCUCAUGUCAGCCCCUCGCUCUGCCCUCCCAUGGUAUCUGUUGGUAGCUUUGCCAUCCUAUGUGGAAGAUAGGGCUCGCCUCUCGCCUUCUGUCUCCUGCAACCACACUCAAUUCCUAGGCCAACAAUACUAGGAACUUGGUAGUUCCAAAAAUACUGGCUUUUAGGGAGGGAAUAGGAAGGCAAAGUUUAGAACAGAGGCAGAAGGAACACCCAUCCAGAGCCUGCCCCACAUGUGGCCCAUACAUAUACAGCCACCAAACUAGAUAAGAUGGAUGAAGCAAAGAAGUGCAGGCCGACAGGAACCGGAUGUAGAUCUCUCCUGAGAGACACAGCCAGAAUAUGGCAAAUACAUAGGCGAAUGCUAGCAGCAAACCACUGAACUAAGAACGGGACCCCCGUUGAAGGAAUCAGAGAAAGGACUGAAGGAGCUGAAGGGGCUCGAGACCCCAUAUGAACAACAAUGCCAACCAACCAGAGCUUCCCGGGACUAAGCCACUACCCAAAGACUAUACAUGGACUGACCCUGGACUCUGACCUCAUAGGUAGCAAUGAACAGCCUAGUAAGAGCACCAGUGGCAGGGGAAGCCCUUGGUCUUGCCAAGACUGAACCCCAGUGAACGUGAUUGUUGGGGGGA